rnacentral:tRNA from 1 species
UCUCUCUUUCAAGGAGGCAGCGGGGAUUCGACUUCCCCUGGGGGUAGGUA